GAUGAACGCUGGCGGCGUGGAUAAGGCAUGCAAGUCAAACGGCCCUUCGGGGCAGUGGCAGACGAGGUAGUAACACGUAGGAACCAACCCAGAAGUCAGGAAUAACUCAUCGAAAGAUGAGCUAAUACUUGAUAGUCUCUAAGGAGUAAAGAUUUAUCGCUUCUGGAUGGGCCUGCGUAGUAUCAGCUUGUUGGUAGUGUAAAGGACUACCAAGGCUAUGACGCUUAGGGGAGCUGAGAGGCUGAUCCCCACCGAUGGUACUGAGACACGGACCAUACACCUACGGGUGGCCGCAGUCGAGAAUCUUCCGCAAUGGGCGAAAGCCUGACGGAGCGACGCCGCGUGAUUGAUGAAGUCUUUAGGGAUGUAAAAAUCUUUUCUGAAGGAGGAAGUUUAUUGACGUUACUUCAGGAAUAAGGGGUUGCUAAACUCG
rnacentral:rRNA from 1 species